UUGGAGGGCAAGUCUGGUGCCAGCAGCCGCGGUAAUUCCAGCUCCAAUAGCGUAUAUUAAAGUUGUUGCAGUUAAAAAGCUCGUAGUUGAAUUUCGGGAUUGACGUGAUGGUCGUGCCUUAAGGGGUAUGAACUGUUGCAGUCAAUUUCUCACCUUCUGGAGAAAUAUAAUGUCCUUAAUUGGGUGUUAUAUGAAACCAGAACUUUUACCUUGAAAAAUUAGAGUGUUUAAAGCAGGCAUAUUGCUCGAAUACAUUAGCAUGGAAUAAUAAAAUAGGACGGCAUGGUUCUAUUUUGUUGGUUUCUAGGAUCACCGUAAUGAUUAAUAGGGAUAGUUGGGGGCAUUAGUAUUCAAUUGUCAGAGGUGAAAUUCUUGGAUUUAUUGAAGACUAACUACUGCGAAAGCAUUUGCCAAGGAUGUUUUCAUUAAUCAAGAACGAAGGUUAGGGGAUCGAAGACGAUCAGAUACCGUCGUAGUCUUAACCAUAAACUAUGCCGACUAGGAAUCAGACGAUGUUAAUUUUUAAUGACUCAUUCGGC
rnacentral:rRNA from 1 species